rnacentral:rRNA from 1 species
GGGGAAUUUUGGACAAUGGGGGCAACCCUGAUCCAGCCAUGCCGCGUGAGUGAAGAAGGCCUUCGGGUUGUAAAGCUCUUUCGGACGGAAAGAAAACGGAUGGGUUAAUACCCUGUUCGGAUGACGGUACCGUCAUAAGAAGCACCGGCUAACUACGUGCCAGCAGCCGCGGUAAUACGUAGGGUGCGAGCGUUAAUCGGAAUUACUGGGCGUAAAGCGUGCGCAGGCGGUUAUAUAAGACAGAUGUGAAAUCCCCGGGCUCAACCUGGGAACUGCAUUUGUGACUGUAUAGCUAGAGUACGGCAGAGGGGGAUGGAAUUCCGCGUGUAGCAGUGAAAUGCGUAGAUAUGCGGAGGAACACCAAUGGCGAAGGCAGCCCCCUGGGUCGAUACUGACGCUCAUGCACGAAAGCGUGGGGAGCAAACA